rnacentral:rRNA from 1 species
AGUGAACGCUGGCGGUAGGCCUAACACAUGCAAGUCGAACGGCAGCACAGUAAGAGCUUGCUCUUACGGGUGGCGAGUGGCGGACGGGUGAGGAAUACAUCGGAAUCUACUUUUUCGUGGGGGAUAACGUAGGGAAACUUACGCUAAUACCGCAUACGACCUACGGGUGAAAGCAGGGGAUCUUCGGACCUUGCGCGAUUGAAUGAGCCGAUGUCGGAUUAGCUAGUUGGCGGGGUAAAGGCCCACCAAGGCGACGAUCCGUAGCUGGUCUGAGAGGAUGAUCAGCGACACUGGAACUUGGACACGGUCCAGACUCCUACGGGAGGCAGCAGUGGGGAAUAUUGGACAAUAGGCGCAAGCCUGAUCCAGCCAUACCGCGUGGGUGAAGAAGGCCUUCGGGUUGUAAAGCCCUUUUGUUGGGAAAGAAAAGCAGCAGGUUAAUACCCCGCUGUUCUGACGGUACCCAAAGAAUAAGCACCGGCUAACUUCGUG